rnacentral:tRNA from 1 species
GCGCGGAUAGCUCAACGGUAGAGCAGAUGUCUUAUACACAUCUGGUUCCAGGUUCGAAUCCUGGUCCGCGCACUA